AUUGAACGCUGGCGGCAGGCUUAACACAUGCAAGUCGAGCGGAGAGAGGUAGCUUGCUACUGAUCUUAGCGGCGGACGGGUGAGUAAUGCUUAGGAAUCUGCCUAUUAGUGGGGGACAACAUUUCGAAAGGAAUGCUAAUACCGCAUACGUCCUACGGGAGAAAGCAGGGGAUCUUCGGACCUUGCGCUAAUAGAUGAGCCUAAGUCGGAUUAGCUAGUUGGUGGGGUAAAGGCCUACAAAGGCGACGAUCUGUAGCGGGUCUGAGAGGAUGGUCCGCCACACUGGGACUGGGACACGGCCCAGACUCCUACGGGAGGCAGCAGUGGGGAAUAUUGGACAAUGGGCGCAAGCCUGAUCCAGCCAUGCCGCGUGUGUGAAGAAGGCCUUAUGGUUGUAAAGCACUUUAAGCGAGGAGGAGGCUACUUUAGAUAAUACCUAGAGAUAGUGGACGUUACUCGCAGAAUAAGCACCGGCUAACUCUGUGCCAGCCGCCGCAGUAA
rnacentral:rRNA from 1 species